rnacentral:rRNA from 1 species
UACAGAGGGUGCGAGCGUUGUUCGGAAUUAUUGGGCGUAAAGCGCUUGUAGGCGGCCUGUCAAGUCGCGUGUGAAAUCCCCUGGCUCAACCAGGGAAGUGCGCGCGAAACUGGCGGGCUUGAGUGCCGGAGAGGGUCGCGGAAUUCCCGGUGUAGAGGUGAAAUUCGUAGAUAUCGGAAGGAACACCAGUGGCGAAGGCGGCGACCUGGACGGACACUGACGCUGAGACGCGAAAGCGUGGGGAGCAAACAGG